rnacentral:rRNA from 1 species
GAUGAACGCUGGCGGCGUGCCUAACACAUGCAAGUCGAACGGAGAUUUAACGCUGAUGAAGCUUCGGCAGAUUCUUGUUAAAUCUUAGUGGCGGACGGGUGAGUAACGCGUGGGCAACCUGCCUCAUACUGGGGGAUAACAGCUGGAAACGACUGUUAAUACCGCAUAAGCGCACAGCAUCGCAUGAUGCAGUGUGAAAAACUCCGGUGGUAUGAGAUGGGCCCGCGUCAGAUUAGCCAGUUGGCAGGGUAACGGCCUACCAAAGCGACGAUCUGUAGCCGGCCUGAGAGGGCGGACGGCCACAUUGGGACUGAGACACGGCCCAAACUCCUACGGGAGGCAGCAGUGGGGGAUAUUGCACAAUGGAGGAAACUCUGAUGCAGCGACGCCGCGUGAGUGAAGAAGUAUUUCGGUAUGUAAAGCUCUAUCAGCAGGGAAGAAAGACUCGUAAGAGAGAUGAC